rnacentral:ncRNA from 1 species
GAAAGCCGUGUGCGGGAAAAUCGCAUGCACGGUUUGACGAGGGGAGCAGAUGAUAAGUAUAGUAUCUGACAUAAUUAAGUAGACUAUUUAUUAAAAAACUCUUUUAUUUGUUCUGGUCGUUUUUGAAUCGAUCUCAA